AACAAAAAAACACAGGACACACGGGUACGUAUGCAUCGAAGGAGAGCCGGGGUACGGCCGCCGCCGCCGCCGCCGCCACCUGCGGAUGGUCUUCCUGUCCGGCCAUCCGCGCAGCCCACGCGGGCGAGCUGCCGAUCUGGCUGGGCUGCCUGGCCACGCAGCGGACGGCAGCUGUUCGAGCAACUCCUCGACGCAGGGGAAAAGGUUGGCGGCGCUGGAGUUCGUCGGAACGGGCAGGCGGCCGGUGGGUGACGCGAGGCCGCGGCGCCGGCGCGAGGAAUACGGGCGGAUCCGGGGGCGGCAGCGACCGAUCUGGCUGCUGGUGCGGCGGCUUGCUCCGGCGGCGGCGGCGUCCUGCUCAUUCAUAGAAACAGAGACACGGCGUGAGGGAGAGAGGAAGAAAGGAGAAGGAGCAGGGGGCGCAAGGUCAGGGAGGCUGUCGCUAGCGGUGGCGGCUCCGGCGACCGGCCGGCGGGCUUCCCAGGCAAGGCUAAGGAGUACGCUAGCCUGAGAUUCAAUAGAGACACGGUGAUUCUGGUCGGAGUGGUGGCUACGUGAUUCUGGCCGGCGUGCAUCCAUAGUCAGAGGAUGCCGAGCCUUCCUCGCUGCCAGCAACAUCAGCUCGUCUCGGCAUGAGGUUGAGCAUGGUAAUAAUGUACAGUUUGAACUUCGUGCUGGCAGAACUUUUUCGCCUUGAAGCAUUCUGUGAAUUACACCAUGAAUACUUGAAUAGCAACAACAUCAGGCCAUUUGAGAGAAGGGGUGUCCCUGGAGUUCUCCCUAAAUCUUACUGCAUUCUUAGUGACAAUGAGGAAUUAUUAUUCACUUGAGAAAAUAAAGAUUAAAACGGUGAGGCUCUCAAAAGUGAAAUGACUUUCUGAGCUCGACAUUGACCUUUUUUGAGCUAGAUAUUGACUUUCUGAGUAGCACAAUAUGGGUCCUAUCUGAAGCCUUUUACGUGCCUGUUACAAUGAUGUUUUUAUUUUCCUUUGUAUAUUAACUAGAGAAUAUUAUUGUCUGCUAUAACUGCUGAAAGAUGUCAUAUUCCUUUGUUAUAAUGGUGUUUGCAGUAGGAGUGUACGCCUCUCAUUCAAAGAAGAGGCUCAACAAUCUUUUGGAUGGACUUAUGAUUACCACAUAUAUGAUCUUAUGAAGCAGGAGUUGAGAACUACAAAAUCCAUCUAUUCCUAGAAUGGAGCUGGUUGAAGUUGGGCCUUCAAUGGACCUGGUAGUUAGGUGGCACCGACGUUUAGUAAAGCCAAUUUUUUAUGAGGAAAUGCACCCAAAAAAAGUUUAGUGGAAGUGGAUUAGAUUGUUUGUAGUCAUAUGCUCUUGAGAAAUUUUGCGCUUUCUUUAUUUCUUCUGAUAAUAAUUCUUUGUUUAUUUCCAACUGACAUUGAUAUGCAAAAGAAAAUCCUGUGAUUUUUUUGCCCUCUCAUUGACCAUUUAAUUUUUCAGUCAUAGCUAUAUACAAAGAAGUAUUGUACCAUAUAGUUGUGUUUUCGGAAACGUCUAAAGGCCUGUUACAUGCAUCAUUUUCUCUUUCAUAUCCUUCAUCUGAAACUGAAAAUAUGAACCAUUUUGUUGAUAUGAACAUUAAUUGCAAGGUGAAUAAAUAGUGGUUGACAAUGUGACUGGAUGUACAUGAGCAUAUGUUGUAUCUUUGACGCCAUUCAUUUUGAAUCAUUAGAAUAAUAAAAGAGGUUUGUUUGGAUAAUUAUUUUCCAGGUUUCUAAACACAUUUAUUUAUCUAUUUUGUAUCCAUUGCAACACAUAUGUUUCCCUAAAUAAAAUGACUGUACAAUUGUGUGAACUGAGUGGCUGGUCGUUACUGUAGAUUAAAUUUCUCACAUUAAGAAUCUUUGCCUGACGCUACAAAAAAAAUCUAUGUUUUGUAGGAGGAUUAGUGACCAAAUAUAUCCUUUUUAUUGUAAAUAUUUUAGUCUGCUACUUUGUUCAUUAAUUUUUCUGGGCAUUUAUGCUUAAGUUUUAUUUCAAAGCAAAAUCAUAUUGAGCUAUCUACAAGUUAGAAUUAUCCAAAACAGUUUCUGUAACAUUGUAUAUCAUGUGUUUUCUCUUUUAUUCAUAACAUAAUAUGCAGUCACACAAUUUAUAUCUUGGUUGUGAAUUCCAGAGGGGAAGAUAGCCUUCCUGGCAGUUAGAGCUUCGUCACUUGGAAGGUAGACAAGCAAUGCAAGCCAACAAAGAAAAUUAGUUAGGGAAGCACCGAGUUCGCCGGGAGGUAGCAGAACGUUUGUCGAGCCAUCCAAUAUCGCCAACGGUGGCUACACCAGAGAGUUUACAAACAAGUGUGAAACCUAUAAUGAUGAGUGAUGAUUAUGGUAUGAUUACUGGAUCAAUAAUUCAUAGCAAGGAAGCUAUUUUACUGGAAAAAGUAAAUCCAGUAUUAAACUUAGUAAAUUGUUGGGUAGAUCAGGUUAGAUGCGGCUUAAACCUUCGCCGCUCCCUGCCAUUUAGUACUGGUUGGAGUCUGUUUGAGCUGACCAAUGUGGAGCAGAGUCGCAAUGGAGAUACCCAGUCUCACAUGCUUUAUUCUACUUCUUGUAGUAUAACAGAGCUUGGUUGUAGCUAACUGUGCCCUCAGUCAGUCCCUUAAGAUUUUGUGUAUUUAGAAAUUUAUUUAGAGAUGGUAAAAUAAAGAUCUUGAUGUAUUGACGGUUUGCGGUAGUGGGGCUGUUCUGUUACAGUUCAGGAUACUCAAAUUCCUCCUGCUCGUAUCAUUGUCUCCCUGUAAUGUGAUGUAGCACAGUACUAUGCACUUCAGCAGUAAGCCCAGAACCUAGCUAGCUUACUUGAGGGUCGGCUCCGGAUUUUGACGAUUGUGUUUGUGUAUAAUUUGUGAGGGGUUGUAGAGAGUCAAUUAACAAGUCAAUGAAUACAAACCUGUUUUUCUCUACGGUCCUCUGAACAUACUUGCUAUAAGAACAUAUAUUUCAAUAUUUGAGCAUUGAAAAAAUUGUCAAA